rnacentral:lncRNA from 1 species
UAUUUAUAUAAUGGUGGAAAUAUUCCAAAAUUCAAUAUUUUGGGAUUUAUACCCAAAAGAUAAACAAAUUAGAGGCCAAGAGGCUGCCGGAAGGGAAAAACGGGGCCUGGGAAGGCCGUUGUGAGGAAUGAGCUGGGCCUAAAGAGGCCACUGGGAGGCAGGAGGAGCUGGGCCUGGAGAGGCUGACUCGAGGAAGUUUUGCACCUGGAGAGGCCGCCGAGAGGACGGACUGGGCCUGGAGAGGCUGACUCGAGGAACUUUUGCACCCGGAAAGGCCGCCGAGAGGCCGUUGCUGGGCC